rnacentral:rRNA from 1 species
UACGAAGGGGGCUAGCGUUGCUCGGAAUCACUGGGCGUAAAGCGCACGUAGGCGGCUCUUUAAGUCAGGGGUGAAAUCCUGGAGCUCAACUCCAGAACUGCCUUUGAUACUGGGAAGCUUGAGUCCGGGAGAGGUGAGUGGAACUCCGAGUGUAGAGGUGAAAUUCGUAGAUAUUCGGAAGAACACCAGUGGCGAAGGCGGCUCACUGGCCCGGUACUGACGCUGAGGUGCGAAAGCGUGGGGAGCAAACAGG